AUCAGACUCCAAGGAGAGGCCAACAGAUGAGGGAGCCAUUUUUCUGCAAUGGAAUUAAAUGGCCAAGUGGGUUUUUCCUUUGUUGCAAAUGGGGAAUGCUUUUCCUUUGACUCCACCAUCCAGUUCAGGACGCCUGAAUGUGUUUAACAUUUGCCAAAGGACUCACACUUGGAAGAAUGAAGACCUUUUAAAAAGAUCUGGAUUUUUCCUUAUGACUUGGAAUCCAUCUUUGUCUUGUAUAACUAGGUCAUAGCACACUAUUAAUGUCAGCAGUUAACAGUUUUGAAUUCAAAAAAACCUAAAGCACUAAACAGCCCUCAGCGAAGCCGCCUUUUUGCCAGCCCAACCCUGGAAAGUUUGCAGUCGUGGAAGGAGCAGAAAUACCACGAGUGUAACUUACAAAGAAGGUCUUGGCCGGAGACCGGAGCCAUGUCUGUGUUAUCCCCACUGUAGACAAUCCUUGCUUCCUCUGGACAUCUGGAGCAGGCCCAAUUUGACUGAGAGCCUUCCCCCACUAAGAAGUGAAUUCUCCCCUUGGCAAACUGCAGCCAGCCAGCCUCCUGGGUCGAGAGCCAAGCCAAAAGAUGUCUGAGAGAAGAAACCUGGGGUCCUGCAAAGGUAAGUGGGUCCCAGCCCACUCUCAAUCCCCCUCUCUCUGUGUGAUUGCUAUUCCACACUGGAGUCACCUGCUCUGUGCUUCUGAGGAACCUCACCUCUGGCACAUCAAUGGAAAUUGUCCUUCCCUUUUUAUUUAUUUUUAUUUAUUUUUUAUUUUUUGCCACCCUCACUGGCCACUAAGAGAUAGCCCUAGCUCCUCCUCUCCUGCCUGGUUUUGACAGGACUCACUCCAUUGAGUCCUGUCUCGUCUCUUUGCAGCCCUCCUCCUCCCCCCCCCCCCCCUUCAGCCAGCACUUAGGCCCUCCCUGAUUUAGCCCGUUACCUUGACAACCACUUGGGCCUGUCUCCCUCAUCACCACUGAAAACCUGAAGGUGGUUUUCCAGCUGCGGUACAUUUGCCCAAGUUGGGCACCCCUCCAGCUUCUAUUGGCUCGCCCUCUAUACAGCUGUACCCAAUAUAACAAACACAACCUUCCUGGCCCCUCAGCUGUAGUCUCGAAAUUGAUCUCACUGGUCCCGGGAACUCCGUCAAUACUGCCUCCUCUAGACUGAGCUCCUCACAGGCAGGAACAUGGUUGUUUCUCAAUAAACAAGUUGCAAAAAAAGGAA
rnacentral:lncRNA from 1 species